UAAACCGCGGCGCUCAACAUGGCGGCGCCCGCGUGACCGCUCGACCGGGUGUUCUCUCGUGCGGACCAGGACAGGUCGUUUUCGUGUAGCGUCACGCUGCCUUCGAUAUCUAGAGAUGCAUUUAACCCCUGGGAGCCUUUUAGCGCGAGCCGGGAGUUGGCCGUGGCCUGCGAACCCGCUGACCUCUAAUGACCCUCAUCUGCCGUGCUCCGGAAGCGCUUCCGCCUCUCUGAAACAGAAGCUGGGUCGGUGUUGGCAGAGUGGCGGGCACUGAUGGAUUCAGAAAGCCGGCGAACACAUCCGCUCUGCGCAGCCGGGAUGGACAGCCCGGCCCGGGCACCCUUCACCUCAGGGGAACCGCUUCCUGCCACACCUGCUGGCCAGGUGUGACCCCACCAAGUUAAUUUCAUCUUGAACUGCUGUGUGUAGCCACUUAGCGUCUAAUUACUGAGCGUCUGCCGUGUGGGAAGUUGGUGCUUGCACAGGGCGGACAGCUGACGGGAGUUCACCUUUAUCUUCAAGGACGCAGGGCCAGGGGCCGGCAGCCUCUCUUGCGUCCUUGGAGCGGCCGAUCUUGUGCUGCUGCACAGCCAGGCCUGGGUGCCCAGCGGGUACCACACUGAGCUAGACGGCAGGAGACCCUGGGCUCUGGGAGGCUCUGUCACCGUGCCCAGCACGUAAACAAAGCGCUCCAGACCCUCUCAGGAGACCGCAUCCCGUGCGGCAGAUGCCCCCCAUCCUCACGCUGGCUCUCCACACCGCAGCUGCUCUCAGACACUGUCAGAAACUAUUAAGCGGAAAACCCCAAAAGGAAAUGCGUGGUGAGUUCCAAGUUGCUUCUCGUGCAGCGUCUCGUGCCCCUGCUCAGCAGGGGACUGGGCCCUCGGUCCAGGGUGUCCGCUCGGGGUCCCCUCCCUUCCCUUGAGCUGCCUGGUUGCCCUCUGGGGUCUCAAUUCCGCUGCUGCUGUGCCGUGGCCGAGUUUGUCCUCAGCUCACAGCUCUUCCGCUUGGUAAGGGCCCCAGAGCAGAAGAGUAGCCAUGCCAAGGAGGCACUGGGGGGAGGGUAGCCCGGGGAGCGGCCGGUUCGCCCCGACUGUGUGGCCGUGUGCAGGACACAGAGGAAGAGCGGUGCUGUACCCCGGGUCCAGUCCUGUCUGUGGCCUCAAGUAUCCACCGAGGUCCUUGGGACACGCCACUGUGGAAAAGGGGGCUCCUGUGCUUCCGUCAGGGGUCAGGGAGGCAGAAUUCCUGGGGCCAGUCUGCCCUUCCCGUCUGCUUUCCUCCCGGUGUUGCUCCAUUUUUACGUCUGCAGACGCGUCAGUGCCUCUGUCAGGCGUGGGGUCGUCGCCUCUGUGCCCGCCCUCCUGGCUUCUGCUUGCUGACCCUUGGCCCCCGUCAUCGCCUCUUAAAAUCGGGCGCGCUGAUGCCAACGCAGCGUCCAGACGGUCAGUUGCUGCUUUCAUUCGGGGGCACGCUCCUGGCUCCUGGCGCGCACAGCCUGGGCGUGCGCAGUCUCUGUGCCUGGGGGAGGUAGGGUCCAGCAUCGGCCCCGGGGGUUCUGAGAAAGGGACUUCGCCACAGGGUAGGGGUGGGAUUCCCCCUCUGGAGCCACAGGGAGAGAGGCCGAAGCCCUUCCCACACGUCACCGUUUCCGAGGACGGAGGGUCACGUGGCGGAAGGAAGCAGGCUUCACGCUGCAGGGCUGAGGGAAUUGGAGCGGAGAGGGCCCAGGCGAGGAGCAGGCUUGGGCUUGUGAACCUGUGAGCACACCCGCCAUACCUGGAUCUGAAGAGCGGACGGGCAAAGGCCACCCCCGCCCUUGUGUGGUAUUGAAAUCUCCUCCUCCUUUAUCCAAACAAAUUGAAAUCAACAUACCUAGCGACGCAUGCAUUUCAGUAUCUAUAGGGCCACAAUUCUCUGUGGCUCAGUCGUGGGAGCAGCCUGGAUGUCCAUCAGCAGACGGUGGGUAGGGAAGAGGUGGGCCGUAUGCACGGGGAGCUUCACUCAGCCAUAAGGAAGAGUGACCUGAUGACGUUCGCUGUACGUGGGGACCUGGAUGGCGUCGUGCUAAGUGGAAGCAACCCGGCUCCGAAAGUCAAGUCUUCUGUUCUCUCUCUCAUGCAGAAGCUCAGGAGAAAAAGGGAGUCAAAGAUAAGAGGUUCUCAUGGAAGUAGAUGAGGGGUCAGGGAAGUGGAGGCCGAGGAUGAGCGGAGAGAGGAGAGGCAGGAAAGGGGAAGAACUGGGGAGCAGACGGACACAGAGGUGCCAGGCGCCCGAGCGAGCGCGUCCUGAGGAACCCCCCCACGUAGCUCAUAAUAUACCAGUGAAGAGUCCAUCCGGAAGGUUCUCUGAUCUGCAGAUGCUAAUUCACAAUAAGGGGGCCUAGGGAGGAAUA